UGGAGGAAAGUCCGGGCUCCAUAGGGCAGAGUGCCAGGUAACGCCUGGGCGGCGCGAGCCGAUGGAUAGCGCCACAGAAAAUAUACCGCCUAAGCCGAAAGGCCGGUAAGGGUGAAAUGGUGCGGUAAGAGCGCACCGCGCGGGUGGCAACAUUCCGUGGCAAGGCAAGCCCCACUCGGAGUAAGGCCAAAUAGGGGAACAAUGGUGCGGCCCGUACCGUUCCCGGGUAGGCUGCUCGAGGUGCGUAGCAAUACGUAUCCCAGAUGAAUGGCUGUCCACGACAGAACCCGGCUUAACGGCCGACUCCUUUU
rnacentral:RNase_P_RNA from 1 species